rnacentral:rRNA from 1 species
AUUGAACGCUGGCGGCAGGCCUAACACAUGCAAGUCGAACGAGUGGCGGAAGGGUGAGUAAUGUCUGGGAAACUGCCCGAUGGAGGGGGUUCACUCCUGGAAACGGUAGCUAAUACCGCAUACCCUCGGAUGUGCCCAGAUGGGAUUAGCUAGUUGGUGGGGUAACGGCUCACCUAGGCGACGAUCCCUAGCUGGUCUGAGAGGAUGACCAGCCACACUGGAACUGAGACACGGUCCAGACUCCUACGGGAGGCAGCAGUGGGGAAGAUUGCACAAUGGGCGCAAGCCUGAUGCAGCCAUGCCGCGUGUAUGAAGAAGGCCUUCGGGUUGUAAAGUACUUUCAGCGAGGAGGCGUUACUCGCAGAAGAAGCACCGGCUAACUCCGUGCCAGCAGCCGCGGUAAUUC